CUGUGUAGAUGCGCCACGGCCACAUGACUCUCGAUCGGUCGGCCAGCGAUUUUGUGUAAUAAUGCCGCUUGCUGUUUGAAUUCAAGGUGUCUUUGAAAUUGUCGAGUGGCCGUUAGCGGUCUGUGUGUUGGCGCGAAGUUGGAGACAAAGAUGUAUGUGAAAUCAACUUACAUACCAGUUCGAAGGCGGAAGAGGAGGAAGCGUUUCCCAGCAGCUAUAAUUGAAGAUGACAUGAACUCCAGUUUUUAUUUGUUCAAUGCUUUGAAUGCUGACAGUAUAAAGAAGUUCAAAGCAGACCAGAAAUGUAAUCCAAAAAAGAAAAGGAAGCCUAAAAAGUUGCAGAAUAGUGUCCAUUUUGAUACAACUACUGUAGAUUUGAAAGCAGAGAAAGAGAACAGGAAAAAGAGUAAAAUGAAGGGAACUAUGAGGAAAGAGGGUGUUGCUGCAG